GGACUAUAUUCUCUAUCACUUGAUCAAGAUUAGAUGGUUGUUGAAUCAGGUAUUUUCCUCGAUUUCUAUGGAUACCAACUUAGCCACCGCCCCAUCUCUUCUGCUGAUGUCUGCCGAUCCCAGUGGAAACAUUGUUACUGUUGAGCUCAUUACACCACUGAUGUUCCACCUUUCAAAGCAAUAAAUUUCUUAAUGAAGUCGGCUGCUCCUUGUUUGUAGCUUAGAGGAGAGGUUGAUUCCGAAGUACCAUAUUUCUAAGGAUUCUUAGGAUGAUUGAAUUGCUGACGG
rnacentral:lncRNA from 1 species